GGGAUCCUACGGGGCGCAGCAGUGGGGAAUAUUGCACAAUGGGGGAAACCCUGAUGCAGCGACGCCGCGUGAGCGAAGAAGUAUUUCGGUAUGUAAAGCUCUAUCAGCAGGGAAGAAAAAUGACGGUACCUGAGUAAGAAGCACCGGCUAAAUACGUGCCAGCAGCCGCGGUAAUACGUAUGGUGCAAGCGUUAUCCGGAUUUACUGGGUGUAAAGGGAGCGUAGACGGUGCGCCAAGUCUGGAGUGAAAUGCCGCAGCUUAACUGCGGAACUGCUUUGGAAACUGGCGAACUAGAGUGCGGGAG
rnacentral:rRNA from 1 species